GAUGAACGCUGGCGGCGUGCCUAAUACAUGCAAGUCGAGCGAACAGAUGAGGAGCUUGCUCCUCUGACGUUAGCGGCGGACGGGUGAGUAACACGUGGAUAACCUACCUAUAAGACUGGGAUAACUUCGGGAAACCGGAGCUAAUACCAGAUAAUAUAUUGAACCGCAUGGUUCAAUAGUGAAAGACGGUUUUGCUGUCACUUAUAGAUGGAUCCGCGCCGCAUUAGCUAGUUGGUAAGGUAACGGCUUACCAAGGCAACGAUGCGUAGCCGACCUGAGAGGGUGAUCGGCCACACUGGAACUGAGACACGGUCCAGACUCCUACGGGAGGCAGCAAUAGGGAAUCUUCCGCAAUGGGCGAAAGCCCGACGGAGCAACGCCGCGUGAGUGAUGAAGGUCUUCGGAUCGUAAAACUCUGUUAUUAGGGAAGAACAAAUGUGUAAGUAACUAUGCACGUCUUGACGGUACCUAAUCAGAAAGCCACGGCUAACUACGUG
rnacentral:rRNA from 1 species